UGCGUAGGGUGCGAGCGUUGUCCGGAAUUACUGGGCGUAAAGCGUGCGCAGGCGGUUCGCUAAGACAGAUGUGAAAUCCCCGGGCUUAACCUGGGAACUGCAUUUGUGACUGGCGGGCUAGAGUAUGGCAGAGGGGGGUAGAAUUCCACGUGUAGCAGUGAAAUGCGUAGAGAUGUGGAGGAAUACCGAUGGCGAAGGCAGCCCCCUGGGCCAAUACUGACGCUCAUGCACGAAAGCGUGGGGAGCAAACAGG
rnacentral:rRNA from 1 species